rnacentral:lncRNA from 1 species
GGGGUGUUAUUGUGAGGAUGGUGCCUAGGCAUAUCUUUGAUGAUACUGAGGUUGAUGACGAUGUUGGACCAUGCAUACAAAGUAUUUCUUUAGGAUAAAAUUUACCUGAUAUUGUCGAGAUCCCAGAUACAUUUAUCAAGAGUAAUGGUAAUGUCCAUAUUGUAGAUGUCAGUAGACAAUGAGCUCAAUAUCUUAGUAUAAAUGUUAGUAUUUAUUUAUUGAUGCUCAACUAAUGUUAUUGUUUAACAGCAUGUUAUAUUUGUUAGUAUUUGUUGCCCAGCUAGACAACCCAAGAGAGAGGAUAAAUUAGAUUUUUAAAAUUUAAAAUAAAUAUGCACUAUUAAUCAAUUAACUCUUAGAGAAAUAGUACAAUGAGAGCUAAAAAUGUAUACAAACGAGAGAAGAGAAGGCACACACACAAAGGCACAAUAUUUUAUAGUGGCUCGAAUUGACCUCGAGUUGGCUCGAAUGGCAGUUUUCAAAAAAAUCAAUGUUCUAUCCCAUUAAGAGAGCCGGCUCGAAUUUGUCUCGAGCUGGCUCGAGCUGUAGAACUCAAAUUUUGCCUUUCUAUCUACCUGAGAGAGCCAGCUCGGAUCCUGUUUCGAGCUGGGUCGAGCAGA